GACGAACGCUGUCGGCGUGCUUAACACAUGCAAGUCGAACGGAAAGGCCCUGCUUUUGUGGGGUGCUCGAGUGGCGAACGGGUGAGUAACACGUGAGUAACCUGCCCUUGACUUUGGGAUAACUUCAGGAAACUGGGGCUAAUACCGGAUAGGAGCUCCUGCUGCAUGGUGGGGGUUGGAAAGUUUCGGCGGUUGGGGAUGGACUCGCGGCUUAUCAGCUUGUUGGUGGGGUAGUGGCUUACCAAGGCUUUGACGGGUAGCCGGCCUGAGAGGGUGACCGGCCACAUUGGGACUGAGAUACGGCCCAGACUCCUACGGGAGGCAGCAGUGGGGAAUAUUGCACAAUGGGCGGAAGCCUGAUGCAGCAACGCCGCGUGCGGGAUGACGGCCUUCGGGUUGUAAACCGCUUUCGCCUGUGACGAAGCGUGAGUGACGGUAAUGGGUAAAGAAGCACCGGCUAACUACGUGCCAGCAGCCGCGGUGAUACGUAAGGUGCGAGCGUUGUCCGGAUUUAUUGGGCGUAAAGGGCUCGUAGGGUGGUUGAUCGCGUCGAAAGUGUAAUCUUGGGGCUUAACCCUGAGCGUGCUUUCGAUACGGGUUGACUUGAGGAAGGUAGGGGAGAAUGGAAUUCCUGGUGGAGCGGUGGAAUGCGCAGAUAUCAGGAGGAACACCAGUGGCGAAGGCGGUUCUCUGGGCCUUUCCUGACGCUGAGGAGCGAAAGCGUGGGGAGCGAACAGGCUUAGAUACCCUGGUAGUCCACGCUGUAAACGGUGGGUACUAGGUGUGGGGUCCAUUCCACGGGUUCCGUGCCGUAGCUAACGCUUUAAGUACCCCGCCUGGGGAGUACGGCCGCAAGGCUAAAACUCAAAGGAAUUGACGGGGCCCCGCACAAGCGGCGGAGCAUGCGGAUUAAUUCGAUGCAACGCGUAGAACCUUACCUGGGUUUGACAUGGAUCGGGAGUGCUCAGAGAUGGGUGUGCCUCUUUUGGGGUCGGUUCACAGGUGGUGCAUGCCUGUCGUCAGCUCGUGUCGUGAGAUGUUGGGUUAAGUCCCGCAACGAGCGCAACCCUUGUUCACUGUUGCCAGCACGUUAUGGUGGGGACUCAGUGGAGACCGCCGGGGUCAACUCGGAGGAAGGUGGGGAUGACGUCAAGUCAUCAUGCCCCUUAUGUCCAGGGCUUCACGCAUGCUACAAUGGCUGGUACAGAGAGCGGCGAGCCUGUGAGGGUGAGCGAAUCUCGGAAAGCCGGUCUCAGUUCGGAUUGGGGUCUGCAACUCGACCUCAUGAAGUCGGAGUCGCUAGUAAUCGCAGAUCAGCAACGCUGCGGUGAAUACGUUCCCGGGGCU
rnacentral:rRNA from 1 species